ensembl:lncRNA
CAUUUACACACUUUAAAAACAGCUUUAUUGGGAUAUAGUAUAAAAUGCACACCCAUUUCAAGUAUAUUUUUAGUAUAUUUCUUAGUAUAUUCAGAGUUGUGCAGCCAUCUCUACCAUCAACUUCAGAUCAUUUUCAUCACCCUCAAAGAAAUCCCACAUCCAUUAGCAGCCACCCUUAAUUUCCCCCAUAUAGUAAUCUGCUUCCAGUCUCUAUAAAUUCACUUAUUCUAGACAUUCUACAUAAGUGGAAUUACAUAACACAUGGCCUUUGGGGACUGGCUUCUCUCACUAAGCAUCACAUUUUCAACAGUCACCAUGCUGUAGCUUGUGCCCAUACCUCAGUCCUUUUUGUGGCUGACUCAUGUUCCACAUUUUAAUCUGUCCACCUGUUGAUGGGCAUUUUGAUUGUUUCUACUUUCUGGUUGUUGUGACUAACAUUGGUAUGAAUAUUUGUGUAGGUGUUUUUCUGCACAUUCUUUCAAUAAUCAUUUUUACUCCUUUUAUUAAAGACUGAAAGUUAUAAACACCUGUUCUCUCAUUGAACAACAGUGCAAAUAUUCAUUGAAAUGACUGAGGCAUUUACAAUAGAAGCAGCAGUUGGGUGUGGUGAAGGGAAAGUAGGUCGGGAGUCAGGACACAGAAUUUCUUUUUUUUUCUUCAUUCAAUAAAGAUUUAUUAAAAUAGAGUAUAAGGCAUUAUAUUGGAUACUGAAGAUUGCACAUCGUAACUGUUCCAUCAUUUAUUAAAAAAAAAAAAAUUGUUGCCCAUUCUGUCCUAGAAAACAAAGAUCAUUCACUUAUCUUCCUAGGGCCUCACGCUCAUCAGCAGUGGGAACAAGACCUAGACCUGGGUAUACCUGGGGGGCUGGGCAAAGCAGGCAAAAUGGUACACCCGAGAGAGUCCUAGCCUACCAGGGACUCAACAAACAUAAUAAUUUGACCCAGAUGACACGAGAGAUGACUUGUAUUCAUUUGCCUUUCCACACUGAAGGUAAAGAAGUGCUUCCUACUCAAUAGUAAAAAUGUUCAACACACUGGGAAUUGCCUGUAGAACGAGAAACACACAAGCUUCGCUGCCUUAUAGAAAACAGGUUCACUUUUUGUAAGUGGUUGAAUUUUUAAACAUUACCUCCAAAGGUGAAAAGACCUUAAAGCAACAGGAGUAGGUCAGAAUGAAAAGAAUUAAUUGGUACCUGACAAUCUGCCAUGGAGAAAGGAAAAAGCAAAAAGACCUUCCGUAAAACCUUCAAGUUUCUGGCAUUGCACUUUUCCGACUUUGCCAGAAGAUGGCGACGUGGACCCACAAGGUUGCAUUACUGCAACGCUGGCGAUCGAAGGACAGGGACUUAGAGGGCAGCUAAGUUGUGCUGUAUGGAGACUUCUGUUCCUUGUCAGUUGCAUUGCAGAGGUCUAGGCACCACUAAGCACAUUCGUAGGGGAGGAAAAAAGGACAUGUGGAAGAAUGAUGUGUUUACAAAGGCUACAGGAAUCUAAUGCAAUUUGCAAACGGCUUGAGGUAUAACUCCAGAUGUCACCAGAAUAAAGAUAUUGGGGGUGAGGGUGGGCAUGACGACACUAAAACAAAGAACAUUAUGCAAUUAGUAUCAAACAAUUAUCUUUUUAUGCUACAUCUAUUCCAAGGAAUAUUAUCAUUCAUUAAAAAUCAAUUAGUAUCACAAUAUGACACCAAAACCACAAGCAACCAAAGAAAAAUGAAAUUGAACUUCAUCAAAACUAAAACUUUUAUGCUUCAAAGACCACCAUCAAGAAAGUGAAAUGACAAUCCAUAGAAAUAGGAGAAAAUGUUUGCAAAUCAUAUACCUGACAAGGGGCUCGUAUCUAAAAUACAUAAAGAAGUCUAACAAUUUAUAAAGACAACCCAAUUUUAAAAUGGGCCAAGAAUUAAGAUAGACACCUCCCUAAAGAUGUCCACGUGGCCACUAAAGUACAUGAAGAGAUGUUCAGCAUCAUGAGCCAUCAAGGAUACGCUAAUUCAAAACCCCCAACGAGAUACCACUUCAUCAUCAUUAGGAUGGCUACAGUAACAAAGACAAGUGUUGGCAAGGGUGUGAAGUAAUCGGAAUCCUCCUACACUGCCGGGUGGGAAUGUAAAGUGGUACAACUGCUUUGGAAAAGUCUGGAAAUUCCUCAAAAGAUGAAACCCAUACCAUAUGACCCAGUAAUUCCACUUCUAGGUAUAUGCCUAGAAGGGAAUAGAAAUCAUAUGUCCACCUAAAAUUUGUACACAAAUGCUCAGAGCAACAUUAUUCACAAAAAUGCCCAUCAACUGAUGAAUGGAUAAGCAAAAGAGGGUCUAUCCAUAUUGUGGAAUAUUUAGCCAUAAGAAGGAAUGAAGUACUGACACAUGCUACAACAUGAGUGAAC